AAAUUGAAGAGUUUGAUCAUGGCUCAGAUUGAACGCUGGCGGCAGGCCUAACACAUGCAAGUCGAACGGUAACAGGAAGCAGCUUGCUGCUUCGCUGACGAGUGGCGGACGGGUGAGUAAUGUCUGGGAAACUGCCUGAUGGAGGGGGAUAACUACUGGAAACGGUAGCUAAUACCGCAUAAUGUCGCAAGACCAAAGAGGGGGACCUUCGGGCCUCUUGCCAUCGGAUGUGCCCAGAUGGGAUUAGCUUGUUGGUGGGGUAACGGCUCACCAA
rnacentral:rRNA from 2 species